rnacentral:rRNA from 1 species
ACCAGACUCCUACGGGAGGCAGCAGUGGGGGAUAUUGCACAAUGGAGGAAACUCUGAUGCAGCGACGCCGCGUGAGGGAAGACGGUCUUCGGAUUGUAAACCUCUGUCUUUGGGGAAGAAAAUGACGGUACCCAAAGAGGAAGCUCCGGCUAACUACGUGCCAGCAGCCGCGGUAAUACGUAGGGAGCGAGCGUUGUCCGGAUUUACUGGGUGUAAAGGGUGCGCAGGCGGCUCUGCAAGUCAGGCGUGAAAGCUAGGGGCUCAACCCCUAAACUGCGCUUGAAACUGUGGAGCUUGAGUGAAGUAGAGGCAGGCGGAAUUCCCGGUGUAGCGGUGAAAUGCGUAGAGAUCGGGAGGAACACCAGUGGCGAAGGCGGCCUGCUGGGCUUUAACUGACGCUCAGGCACGAAAGCAUGGGUAGCAAACAGGAUUAGAUACCCCCGUACA